UAGGGAAUCUUCCGCAAUGGACGCAAGUCUGACGGAGCAACGCCGCGUGAGUGAAGAAGGAUUUCGGUUCGUAAAACUCUGUUGUUAGAGAAGAACAGCGCAUAGAGUAACUGUUAUGCGUGUGACGGUAUCUAACAAGAAAGCCACGGCUAACUACGUGCCAGCAGCCGCGGUAAUACGUAGGUGGCAAGCGUUGUCCGGAUUUAUUGGGCGUAAAGCGAGCGCAGGCGGUCAAUUAAGUCUGAUGUGAAAGCCCCCGGCUCAACCGGGGAGGGUCAUUGGAAACUGGUUGACUUGAGUGCAGAAGAGGAGAGUGGAAUUCCAUGUGUAGCGGUGAAAUGCGUAGAUAUAUGGAGGAACACCAGUGGCGAAGGCGACUCUCUGGUCUGUAACUGACGCUGAGGUUCGAAAGCGUGGGUAGCAAACAGG
rnacentral:rRNA from 1 species